rnacentral:rRNA from 1 species
GAUUCUGGCUCAGGAUGAACGCUGGCGGCGUGCCUAACACAUGCAAGUCGAGCGAUCGUCUCGGAAGAGAGCGGCGGACGGGUGAGUAACGCGUGGGUAACCUGCCCUCGUACACACGGAUAACAUACCGAAAGGUAUGCUAAUACGGGAUAACAUACUUUUAUCGCAUGGUAGAAGUAUCAAAGCUCCGGCGGUACAGGAUGGACCCGCGUCUGAUUAGCUAGUUGGUAAGGUAAUGGCUUACCAAGGCGACGAUCAGUAGCCGACCUGAGAGGGUGAUCGGCCACAUUGGAACUGAGACACGGUCCAAACUCCUACGGGAGGCAGCAGUGGGGAAUAUUGCACAAUGGGCGAAAGCCUGAUGCAAGCAACGCCGCGUGAGCGAUGAAGGCCUUCGGGUCGUAAAGCUCUGUCCUCAAGGAAGAUAAUGACGGUACUUGAGGAGGAAGCCCCGGCUAACUACGUGCCAGCCGCUGC